rnacentral:rRNA from 1 species
UACAGAGGUCCCGAGCGUUGUUCGGAUUCACUGGGCGUAAAGGGUGCGUAGGUGGCUUGUUAAGUUUGAUGUGAAAGCUCAGGGCUUAACCCUGAAAUGGCAUUGAAUACUGUCGAGCUGGAGGUUUGGAGGGGGGACUGGAAUUCUUGGUGUAGCAGUGAAAUGCGUAGAUAUCAAGAGGAACACCAGUGGCGAAGGCGAGUCCCUGGACAACACCUGACACUGAGGCACGAAAGCUAGGGGAGCAAACAGG